rnacentral:rRNA from 1 species
GACGAACGCUGGCGGCGUGCUUAACACAUGCAAGUCGAACGCUGAACCCGCUUCGGUGGGGGAUGAGUGGCGAACGGGUGAGUAACACGUGGGCAACCUGCCCCCGGCUCUGGGAUAACUCCAAGAAAUUGGGGCUAAUACCGGAUGUGCCCGCUGGCCGCAUGGUCUGGUGGUGGAAAGGGUUUCCGGCUGGGGAUGGGCCCGCGGCCUAUCAGCUUGUUGGUGGGGUAGUGGCCUACCAAGGCGACGACGGGUAGCCGGCCUGAGAGGGUGACCGGCCACACUGGGACUGAGACACGGCCCAGACUCCUACGGGAGGCAGCAGUGGGGAAUAUUGCGCAAUGGGCGGAAGCCUGACGCAGCGACGCCGCGUGGGGGAUGACGGCCUUCGGGUUGUAAACCUCUUUCAGCAGGGACGAAGCGCAAGUGACGGUACCUGCAGAAGAAGCACCGGCCAACUACGUG